UACGUAGGGUGCGAGCGUUGUCCGGAAUUAUUGGGCGUAAAGGGCUCGUAGGCGGCCAACUAAGUCAGACGUGAAAUCCCUCGGCUUAACCGGGGAACUGCGUCUGAUACUGGAUGGCUUGAGUUUGGGAGAGGGAUGCGGAAUUCCAGGUGUAGCGGUGAAAUGCGCAGAUAUCAGGAAGAACACCCGUGGCUAAGGCGGCUCUCUAGUACGGUACUGACGCUGAGACGCGAAAGCGUGGGGAGCGAACAGG
rnacentral:rRNA from 1 species